AGCCGGUGAUGUAAUAAAAUAUUUGCUACUCUUGAUGGAUAUUUCUCCAUUUGAUGAUUGUUAACCACCAAGAUCGCUGAGGCU